ACCCGGGUUGCGGACAGUGUCUGGUGGGUAGUUUGACUGGGGCGGUCUCCUCCUAAAGAGUAACGGAGGAGCACGAAGGUUGGCUAAUCCUGGUCGGACAUCAGGAGGUUAGUGCAAUGGCAUAAGCCAGCUUGACUGCGAGCGUGACGGCGCGAGCAGGUGCGAAAGCAGGUCAUAGUGAUCCGGUGGUUCUGAAUGGAAGGGCCAUCGCUCAACGGAUAAAAGGUACUCCGGGGAUAACAGGCUGAUACCGCCCAAGAGUUCAUAUCGACGGCGGUGUUUGGCACCUCGAUGUCGGCUCAUCACAUCCUGGGGCUGAAGUAGGUCCCAAGGGUAUGGCUGUUCGCCAUUUAAAGUGGUACGCGAGCUGGGUUUAGAACGUCGUGAGACAGUUCGGUCCCUAUCUGCCGUGGGCGCUGGAGAACUGAGGGGGGCUGCUCCUAGUACGAGAGGACCGGAGUGGACGCAUCACUGGUGUUCGGGUUGUCAUGCCAAUGGCACUGCCCGGUAGCUAAAUGCGGAAGAGAUAAGUGCUGAAAGCAUCUAAGCACGAAACUUGCCCCGAGAUGAGUUCUCCCUGAGACUUAGAGUCUCCUGAAGGAACGUUGAAGACGACGAC
rnacentral:rRNA from 1 species